rnacentral:rRNA from 1 species
CCUACGGGCGGCAGCAGUGGGGAAUAUUGGACAAUGGGCGAAAGCCUGAUCCAGCCAUGCCGCGUGUGUGAAGAAGGCCUUCGGGUUGUAAAGCACUUUCAGUGGGGAAGAAAGCCUUGGGGCUAAUACCCUCGAGGAAGGACAUCACCCACAGAAGAAGCACCGGCUAACUCCGUGCCAGCAGCCGCGGUAAUACGGAGGGUGCGAGCGUUAAUCGGAAUUACUGGGCGUAAAGCGCGCGUAGGCGGUCUGGUAAGCCGGUUGUGAAAGCCCCGGGCUCAACCUGGGAACGGCAUCCGGAACUGUCAGGCUAGAGUGCAGGAGAGGAAGGUAGAAUUCCCGGUGUAGCGGUGAAAUGCGUAGAGAUCGGGAGGAAUACCAGUGGCGAAGGCGGCCUUCUGGACUGACACUGACGCUGAGGUGCGAAAGCGUGGGUAGCAAACAGGAUUAGAUACCCUAGUAGUC